GUGAAUCAUCAAAUUUUUGAACGCAAAUUGCACUCUCUUCCGAUAGUAUGCCUGUUUGAGGGUCAGCCUAUAAAAUAUCGACGUCGCUGCUGUUUCGCGGGUGCGUUCGUCGGAUAUUGUGUCAUCGUGAAGCCUGUUCAGUUAAGCGACUUAAAAUGUUGUUUUGGUUCCAUGAACGUUUCUAAGAUCUAUUUCUUUACAC
rnacentral:misc_RNA from 1 species